rnacentral:tRNA from 1 species
UGGGGUACAGCUCAGUGGUAGAGUGCAUACUUAGCAUGCACAAGGUCCUGGGUUCAAUCCCCAGUACCUCUA